AAGACCUUGCGCUUUUGGAGCGGCCGAUGCCUGAUUAGCUAGUUGGUGGGGUAAUGGCCUACCAAAGCUUCGAUCAGUAGCUGGUCUGAGAGGGCGGCCAGCCACACUGGGACUGAGACACGGCCCAGACUCCUACGGGAGGCAGCAGUGGGGAAUUUUGGACAAUGGGCGCAAGCCUGAUCCAGCCAUGCCGCGUGAGUGAAGAAGGCCUUCGGGUUGUAAAGCUCUUUCAGCCGGGAAGAAAAGGUUGCGAUUAAUAAUCGCAAUUUAUGACGGUACCGGAAGAAGAAGCACCGGCUAACUACGUGCCAGCAGCCGCGGUAAUACGUAGGGUGCGAGCGUUAAUCGGAAUUACUGGGCGUAAAGGGUGCGCAGGCGGUUUUGUAAGUCAGAUGUGAAAGCCCCGGGCUCAACCUGGGAACU
rnacentral:rRNA from 1 species